rnacentral:rRNA from 1 species
ACUCAAAGGAAUAGACGGGGGCCCGCACAAGCAGCGGAGCGUGUGGUUUAAUUCGAGGCUACACGAAGAACCUUACCUGGGUUCGACAGGACGCCAGUAGGGCGUCGAAAGGCAACCGACCCGCAAGGGAAGCGUCCCAGGUGCUGCAUGGCUGUCGUCAGCUCGUGCCGUGAGGUGUUAGGUUAAGUCCUGUAACGAGCGCAACCCCCAGGUCUAGUUACACGUUGUCUAGACCGACUGCCCGUGACAAGCGGGAGGAAGGUGGGGAUGACGUCAAGUCAGCAUGGCCUUUAUAUCCAGGGCUACACACACGCUACAAUGGCCGGUACAAUGGGUCGCCAAGCCGCAAGGCGGAGCCAAUCCAUACCAAAGCCGGUCUCAGUUCGGAUUGGGGGCUGCAACCCGCCCCCAUGAAGUCGGAGUUGCUAGUAACCGCGGGUCAGCCAUACCGCGGUGAAUACGUUCCCGGGCCUUGUACACACCGCCCGU